ACCUUAGCACACAAUCUAAUUGUUAUGCUAUAAUAGUUAGAGGUCCUCCCUAUUUAUGGAUGAUUCUCUAUGACCUAUAAGACUAGAAUUUUUAAUUCAAGCAGGCUUUGAAUUAAUCCAUAACUUAUCAAAGAAAGAGUCCUAAAGGAGAAAAGAUUUGUGUCUAAAAAGGCGCCCUCAUGCACCCACGCCUACACCC
rnacentral:lncRNA from 1 species